UUCAAAAAUAAAAAAAAUUUUAUAAAUACAUUUUAAAAGCGAUGUUCAGCAGCAAUAUACAACAUUAUAAACUGUUGCAAAUAUUAAAAUAUGGAAAAUUUAGAACGGUUUACAAGGGAUUUGAUUUAAAUAAUACAAGUUUAGCUAUUAAAAAAAUUUCUCUGGACCGACCAACAGAGGAGCUUACAGCAAUGUGCAAUGAAGUUUCUACUAUUCGUCGUUUCAAGCAUAAAAAUAUUAUUACAAUCCUUCACUGCUUUUUGUAUAAUCAGCAUGCAUAUCUGAUGUACCCAUAUAUGUGUUUUGGAAAUUGUGAAAUGCUGCUUCAAAAAGUGUAUACCUCUGGAUUUCCGGAAAUUAUGAUAGCACUUAUCAUGAAGGAUGUUUUAUCAGCUAUUACAUAUAUUCACUCUGAGAACUGUGUCCAUGGAUCGAUAAGAGCUCAGCACAUUCUUAUAAAUUCUAGAAAAGCUGUUAUAUCAAAUUUUCGAGAUUGCCAAACUUUUAUUAUUCAAGGAGAAAAAAAAAAGUUCCUAUAUGGAUCAACGGUGGGGGAAAAAAAACCAUUGUAUUGGAAAGCACCAGAGGUCUUAACUCAAAACCUUUCUGGCUACACCGAAAAAAUAGACAUAUAUUCCACAGGAAUCACUUGUUGUGAAAUGGCAAACGGCUUUCAACCAUUUCAAGGCACAGAAUUAACAUACAUGUUUAUUGAGAAAAUUCGUGGUAGUCGUCCUUUGCUAUUGGAUCACAACAGUAUUAUGGAAGACCAAGAGUCAAGUUUACUGCUUCAAACAAAUGAACUGUUUCACCGUGAUAUAUUUAUGAAAAAAAAAUUUUCAGAUGACUUUCAUCAGUUCGUAGAACUAUGCUUAAAUAAAAAUCCACAGUCUCGAUGGGCUACGUCUAAACUAAUGACACACUCCUUUCUUAAGCAAUGUCGGUCUACAAGUUUUUCAGAGCAAUUUCAGGAUUUCAAUCAUGAUAUGUCUAAUUUAAAAUUGAAAGAACGUACAAUCUCUGAGAUAAACCAUCCGAGCCUCCGGAGAAAGAGCUACAAAAGGCAAUGAGGUGCAUUAAGAACUUGAGCUGCCUUAAGCAGAAGGCUACUCAGACCCUUGAUGCAGAGGUACCUAUGACCGCAACGACCCCAAUAACACUAGAGCCCACUAUAUGAAACGUUUUGUGGCGCUGACACCAACAGAAUCAGGAACAAUGAUAAUACCAUAUGGAAUUUUUAAUCAAUUAAAAUAAGAUGCAUGAUUUUUUGGGCCCAAGUUCUUUAACAUAUUUGCAUAUUCCUCUUCUCUCUCUCUAUUCAACGAAUCCCUUUUUAAAGAAUAUGUUUGUUUGGCCCAAUUCAGUUCGAAUAUGGUAAAACCAAAUAAAGAGAAUAGCGAAAUGUUUUUGUUUGUCACAA